GCUGGGUGGCAUGUGCCUAUAGUUCCAGCUAUUUGGGAGGCUGAAGCUGGAGGAUCUCUUGAGCCCAGGAGUUCUGGGCUGCAGUGCGCUGUGCCGAUUGGGUGUCUGCACUAAGUUCGGCAUCAAUAUGGUGACCUCCCGGGAGCGGGGGGACCAUCAGGUUGCCUAAGGAGGGGUAAACUGGCCCAGGUCAGUAAUGGAGCAGGUCAAAACUCCCGUGCUGAUCAGUAGUGGGAUCACACCUGUGAAUAGCCACUGCCUCUUAUUUAAAAAAAAAAAAAGAAAAA
rnacentral:SRP_RNA from 1 species